GUGCAGACCUCGAGUCAGCUGAAUCUGGACACAAAUUAAUGGUGUGGCUGCAGCAAAACAACCAAAGCAAGUGUAAUCUCCAGAAUUGAGGUUCAACAGUGAGUCUGAAAGCCCGACCCGGAUUCUCACAGCAGGGAAGCCCGAUGGUGGAGCCCGUGCCCUCAGCAGGAAGAGGAAGACGGCCCAGGAAGGACCCUUAAGAUGGAGAGAAAAUCAGCUGAGCUCUGCUAAAAUCUCUUCUGCUGGAGGCGCGUUAGCCCUUCCCGUUUCCUGGGAGCGACGAGUGAAGCCACGUUCCCCCCACGGUUCCUCCAGAGAAAGGGGGCGGAUUAACCCCAUUGCAGACAUUUAGAGGGACAAUAGGAAACAGGACCA
rnacentral:lncRNA from 1 species